GCCACUGCUAUUGGGGUUCGGCUAAGCCAUGCGAGUGGAGGGCGUCCCGCAAGGGAUGGCCCCGCAGACGGCUCAGUAACACGUCGUCAACCCACCUUAGGGUGGGGGACAACCUCGGGAAACUGAGGAUAAUCCCCCAUAGGCGGGGGAGGCUGGAAUGCGCCCCCGCUGAAAGCUCAGGCGCCCUAGGACGGGACAGCGGCCUAUCAGGUAGUUGGUGGUGUGACG
rnacentral:rRNA from 1 species